rnacentral:rRNA from 1 species
GGUUCGAUCAUGGCUCAGAUUGAACGCUGGCGGAUGCUUUACACAUGCAAGUCGAACGGCAGCACGGACUUCGGUCUGGUGGCGAGUGGCGAACGGGUGAGUAAUGUAUCGAACGUGCCUAGCGGGGAUAACUACGCGAAAGCGUAGCUAAUACCGCAUACGCCCUUCGGGGGAAAGCGGGGACCUUUCGGGCCUCGCACUAUUAGAGCGGCCGAUAUCGAUUAGCGAAGUUGGUGGGGUAACGGCUCACCAAGGCGACGAUCCGUAGCUGGUUUGAGAGGACGACCAGCCACACUGGACUCGAGACACGGCCCAGACUCCUACGGGAGGCAGCAGUGGGGAAUUUUGACAAUGGGGGAACCCCGAUCCAGCCAUCCCGCGUGUGCGAUGAAGGCCUUCGGGUUGUAAAGCACUUCUUUGGCAGGAAAGAAACGGCACGGGAUAAUACCCCGUGCAAUUGAUGGUACUCAGCAGAAUAAGCACCGGCUAACCAUGCCAGCAGCCGCGGUAAUACGUAGGGUGCAAGCGUUAAUCGGAAUUACUGGGCGUAAGCGUGCGCAGGCGGUUUCGGAAAGAAAGAUGUGAAAUCCCAGAGCUUAACUUUUGGAACUGCAUUUUUAACUACCGAGCUAGAGUGUGUCAGAGGGAGGUGGAAUUCCGCGUGUAGCAGUGAAAUGCGUAGAUAUGCGGAGGAACACCGAUGGCGAAGGCAGCCUCGGGGAUAACACUGACGCUCAUGCACGAAAGCGUGGGAGCAAACAGGAUUAGAUACCCCGGUAGUCCACGCCCUAAACGAUGUCAACUAGCUGUUGGGGCCUGGGCCUUGGUAGCGCAGCUAACGCGUGAAGUUGACCGCCUGGGAGUACGGUCGCAAGAUUAAAACUCAAAGGAAUUGACGGGGACCCGCACAAGCGGUGGAUGACGUGGAUUAAUUCGAUGCAACGCGAAAACCUUACCUACCCUUGACAUGUCUGGAAUCCCGAAGAGAUUUGGGGAGUGCUCGCAAGAGAACCGGAACACAGGUGCUGCAUGGCUGUCGUCAGCUCGUGUCGUGAGAUGCUGGGUUAAGUCCCGCAACGAGCGCAACCCUUGUCAUUAGUUGCUACGAAAGGGCACUCUAAUGAGACUGCCGGUGACAAACCGAGGAAGGUGGGGAUGACGUCAAGUCCUCAUGGCCCUUAUGGGUAGGGCUUCACACGUCAUACAAUGGUCGGGACAGAGGGUCGCCAACCUGCGAGGGGGAGCCAAUCCCAGAAACCCGAUCGUAGUCCGGAUCGCAGUCUGCAACUCGACUGCGUGAAGUCGGAAUCGCUAGUAAUCGCGGAUCAGCAUGUCGCGGUGAAUACGUUCCCGGGUCUUGUACACACUGCCCGUCGCUACACCAUGGGAGUGGUUUACCAGAAGUGGUUAGGCCUAACCGUAAGGAGGGCGAUUACCACGGUAGGAUUCAUGACUGGGGUGAAGUCGUAACAAGGUAA